CUUCAUGUCUCAAUGGCUUCUGAAUCCCAGUUGCCUGAGGCCCCCAGAGGAGAGUGUUGCUCCGGGGCUCGGAUCCUGCUUUUAGGGCUUCCCAUUGGGGCACCUGGUUGGCUGGGCUAGAGGGGCCCCAGGCCUGAUCCAGCAGCCAGGCUCUUCUGAACUACACCUGAAUGUAGCUCCCAGGGUUGCCCAGUUAACUGAACAUGAAUUAAGUUGGUUUCAGUUUCAGCUUUGAACAAUUCCAAGUUUGUCUUCAGGCUCACUCUCUUGAAGGUGUCUUCGGACCCUUGGAAAGGGUCUCCUAAACCCAGACGAGUCGGAGGGAGCAGCCAGACCUCCGGGGCUGAGCUGAAGUCUCUAGGUUUGCCUGGCUCCCCCCAGGUGACGGUGGAAUUGAAUCUCCAGAUUGUAAACCUGAAAGUAGGGAUACAAUUGACGUAAGCUGCUGAAGAGGAAAGUGCAAAUGCUCUAAAUAAAAGGAAGCCUCUCUCUCCAAAGAA